UUAUCAAUUAAUUUAGUAAAACUUCAUUUGCUCCCAAAAUUAGUUGACAAACCACAAUAAAAUCGUUAUUCUAGAUAAACGGAGACAGCAAACGUUCGAAACCUCUCUCACCAUCAUCAUAUGUUAAUUUAUGAUACAACUAUGCAUUAAAACAAUAUUGUCAUAUUUUUUGAAUUUUUUUCAAAACCUCUACAAAAUAUUAAGUUUUUCGGUAAAAGGUUAAUAUACUGAAGUCUAUAAUAUUUAGUGUUAUUUUAAAUUUUCAAACCACAUUCUACAUUUGUAUUAAUGUAUUCUAAGCUCUCUUACAAGGUACGUUGGCAUCGUCCUAUUUUUUAUCAAUUAAUUUAGUAAAAUUUCAUUUGCUCCCAAAAUUAGUUGACAAACCACAAUAAAAUCGUUAUUCUAGAUACACGGAGACAGCAAAGGUUCGAAACAUCUCUCACCAUCAUCAUAUGUUAAUUUAUGAUACAACUAUGCAUUAAAACAAUAUUGUCAUAUUUUUUUAUUUUUC
rnacentral:lncRNA from 1 species